CCGUAACGUUCGUGUUUCCAAAUAUGGAAUGUCUAUCCUUAUAUGGUGUUGUUUACAACUUUCGUGCAACUAAAUUUAGACCGUGCAAACUAAAUUUAGACCGUACAGUUUAUACUGUUUUUCGAAAUAUAAGAUAUUCAAGCAAAAGUUCCAAUGUUUUAAAUACUGUUUUCUCAAAACAGAACAUUUCGUGCUUUGAGAUAAGAUGGCCAAGACCAAUU